AAUCUCAUCCAGGAUACCUCAUCACAGGUACAUGUCAUGUCUCCUUAGAAUUCUCUGACUGUCACAGUUUUUCGGAGUUUCCUUAUUUUUGAUGCCAUUAAUAUUACUAAUGUGGGAUUUGUCUGAUGUUUCUCUAAUGAUAAGACUGGAUUUGUGGGUUUAGGGGAGGAAGAUCACGAGGAAAAGUGUCAUUUUUAUUUAUUUAUUUAUUUAUUUAAUUUUGAGACAGUGUCUCACUCUCUCUCCCAGGCUGGAGUGCAGUGUCAUGAGCUUGGCUCACUACAGCCUCCAUCUUCUGUGCUUAAGGAUCCUUCCCUCUCAACCUCCAAGGUAGCUGAGACUACAGGCAACAUUCGAAACCCAGGUGCCACUCCUUCAGGAAGGUACCAUCAAGCUCCAAGGACUCAUCCUCUUUCUCCUUCCCCACUACCUAGUCAUUAGAGCGUCAGCAUCCACUUCCUGAAAGGAAGAUGCCUGUUUUUCACAUAUCCCAGAAAGCCUCAUUUUAGGACAGCAUUUAGCAGAGUGUAUUCAGGAUCCCACUAACCUUUUCGGAAGACAUGACUUCCAGAUGAUAUAAGGCAAGAAUAAGAAAUUUCAGUGACAGGGAACAGAAAUCAUAUUUCUGCAUUCAGGAUCAUGUUUUCUUGGCUCCAUCAGGAACUGUGCAGGACUGUGCACUCUGUUGAUACUCACAUGGUGGAAUUAUAUUGCCCUUGGCCAACCCUAAAGCCAUCAAGAUAGCAGGUUUGGAAUAAUUCACUGUCGAAGUCUUCUUGAGCUGAGCAGUCAUGUGAGCUUGGAAGAUGAUCCCUCUCCAGCUGAUCCUUCAGCUCAGGCCAUCAUCUACAUCUGGAUUCCUGACCCGGAGAAACUAUGAGUAAUGUGUGCUGCUUUUGAGCCACUAAGCUACAUGAAUUAAUGAAGGAUCAUUAUUAAGUUUUUAAUGGGUCAAGAGAAAGUUACCACUGAGGUCUUCUCUACCUGGGCAACAAUUGACUCCUAACAACCACUAUAAGCUUGGAAGAUGAUCCCUCCCCAGCUGAUCCUUCAGGAAUUUCCACUGAAGUACCUCUGGUUGAAAAGGAGAACAGAGACUUUUUUCACAGCCACAGGACAAAAUUUGUUCAGAAUUAAAUGCUGAAAAAGGAGAACCUGACACCAUUAUUCAUAAUUUCACUGUAUAUGAAGAGCAACCCUAUACUCCAUACAAACAACAUAGACUGUGGAAUUAUGUUGUGAAAUGUAAAGAGAAGAUGAUUCCCAAAUUUAAAGGAAACUGGAGGUGUUCUGGAGAAACAAAUAGAGGCUGGAGUGCCGUGGCACAAUUAUGGUUCACCAGCCUCAACCUCCUGGGAUCAAGCAAUCGUCUCACCUCAGCCUCCUGAGUAGCUGGACUGCAGG
rnacentral:lncRNA from 1 species